UGCGCCGAUUCUGUCAACAAUGGU
rnacentral:siRNA from 1 species